GACCCGUAAUCCGGGUUGCGGACAGUGUCUGGUGGGUAGUUUGACUGGGGCGGUCUCCUCCUAAAGAGUAACGGAGGAGCACGAAGGUUGGCUAAUCCUGGUCGGACAUCAGGAGGUUAGUGCAAUGGCAUAAGCCAGCUUGACUGCGAGCGUGACGGCGCGAGCAGGUGCGAAAGCAGGUCAUAGUGAUCCGGUGGUUCUGAAUGGAAGGGCCAUCGCUCAACGGAUAAAAGGUACUCCGGGGAUAACAGGCUGAUACCGCCCAAGAGUUCAUAUCGACGGCGGUGUUUGGCACCUCGAUGUCGGCUCAUCACAUCCUGGGGCUGAAGUAGGUCCCAAGGGUAUGGCUGUUCGCCAUUUAAAGUGGUACGCGAGCUGGGUUUAGAACGUCGUGAGACAGUUCGGUCCCUAUCUGCCGUGGGCGCUGGAGAACUGAGGGGGGCUGCUCCUAGUACGAGAGGACCGGAGUGGACGCAUCACUGGUGUUCGGGUUGUCAUGCCAAUGGCACUGCCCGGUAGCUAAAUGCGGAAGAGAUAAGUGCUGAAAGCAUCUAAGCACGAAACUUGCCCCGAGAUGAGUUCUCCCUGACUCCUUGAGAGUCCUGAAGGAACGUUGAAGACGACGACGUUGAUAGGCCGGGUGUGUAAGCGCAGCGAUGCGUUGAGCUAACCGGUACUAAUGAACCGUGAGGCUUAACCUUACAACGCCGAAGGUGUUU
rnacentral:rRNA from 1 species